GCGCGACGUGAAUGGGUGUUUGACAAGCAGUAAGGGAGAGUUCAGGGCCAUGCUAGGUUUAAUGCUUGGAAUUACCGAUGUGAUGUAUUGUUAUUGUGACAGUAGCUUCCGCUGUACGCUCUGGUUCACAAUAAAACGUAUUUACAGUGAAAAACUCCUCUUCAAAUCUGAGCAAACGCCUAGCAAGCCCACCGAGGUGAGCAAGGCGGCUACCACAGCACCGGGACAAACCUGCGACAUCCCCUCCCCUACUAAACAGUUUUAAAAAGAAGACUGUGCAAAGCACAUCAAGUACAAGUGCUUCAGCAACCCCUGCCAUUAUCAAGACAGAUUUGCCAAAAGACUGUCUGAUUUUAGGGGUCAGUUUCUUCUCUAUGGAAACGGCAAGACACAGGAAAGCGGCACAAAGGUGACACCAAAGUGUUGUGAUGUUGGAACCAACACUUCAACAACUGUUGUCUGAUAUGGAGGAAGAAAUGACACCAGUAUGGAGACCGCCGUUUGGGAAUGCUGUGCAGGUUUUACCUGGCAGCACUGCAUCUUAAUGAAAAUGUUCAACAUCUGCAAGCUACUAUCUGAAAUGUCUUUCUCCAAGUUGGGAGUGGGAACAGCUGAGUCCAUCAAAACCCCUGAGAC